AUGCCGUUGUUGGUGUGCGAAUCCUGGAAGGAGCCAAGAUUUGGGAAAAUUGUCUCUGCCACCUUCUAAACUACUCUUCAUAUCAAGUAACGCCCAACUCAUGGGAUUGGGACACGUUUUGUGCUCGAAGGAACGACAUCAUAAUAACGGACGACGGCGAUUCUUAGCCCUCCGUCCACCUCUUCACGUAGCGUCCGUACUUUCUAAGCCUUGUUUUGAAGGAGGUUUAAUUUCUGCAGAACAGUACCAAGCAGAGAGAACUGUGGAUCUUCACUCACAAGAAAGUCAAAUAACAACCAAACUGCUUUACUGAGACCUAUCCUGUUUGAGGCACUGUUAUGUUUAGUAUUAAGAAGGUCUGAGUUUUCUCAUCUUUAAAUGGGAAAUAUGAAACUCAAAGAAGUUAACAGCCACAUGCCCAAAGUCAAUCAGUCAGUAGGUCAAAAAUACUGAUUGAGAGCUGAGAAUUUGCCCAAAAUAUUUUCACUAAAAAUGCGUGAUCGAGUAACACGAAGACAAAUAAUUUGACUAUGCUACAUGAUUGGCUAUUUUAACUGCUAAGCAGAUACAUUGUGCCUUAUGAACACAGCCAUUCAUUGCAAGGUGAGUUGAUUAAUGUAAAUGCUUCAGAAACCCAAACAUUUCCAGUUUCCUUCCUUCUUUCAUCCUAAACCUCCUUUUGCCCCUUUAUUUAUUAGCCAAAGCUCUAGAGAGUAAGGUCAUUUAUUCAAAUAUUUUGAAUAUUUUGUAUUCAGCCUCUUAUAUGAAAUAAUUCUUACUUCUGAAAUUACUUUGUUUUUGUCAAAAGCAAUUUAGCAUUAUUAACCAAGAGACUUAAAACUCCCCAUUCCCCUUGGCCAAGUAAUUACACUUGUAGGUGUCUCUCUUAAGGAAUGAUCUAAAAUACAGAUAGAAUGGGGGCGCCUGGAUGGCUCAGUCAU